rnacentral:rRNA from 1 species
GUGGGGAAUCUUGCGCAAUGGGCGAAAGCCUGACGCAGCCAUGCCGCGUGAAUGAUGAAGGUCUUAGGAUUGUAAAAUUCUUUCACCGGGGACGAUAAUGACGGUACCCGGAGAAGAAGCUCCGGCUAACUUCGUGCCAGCAGCCGCGGUAAUACGAAGGGGGCUAGCGUUGCUCGGAAUUACUGGGCGUAAAGGGCGCGUAGGCGGACAGCUUAGUCAGAGGUGAAAGCCCAGGGCUCAACCUUGGAAUUGCCUUUGAUACUGGCUGUCUUGAGUUUGGGAGAGGUGAGUGGAACUCCGAGUGUAGAGGUGAAAUUCGUAGAUAUUCGGAAGAACACCAGUGGCGAAGGCGACCACCUGGACUGAUACUGACACUGAGGUGCGAAAGCGUGGGGAGCAAACAGGAUUAGAAACCCGUGUAGUCC